GCUCGAUUUGGAGACCAUGGCUGUCCAAUUCCAGUCAGGGCGAGCUCGAGGGUUCGCCAUGGCAGCCCAAAUCGAGUCGACGAGCGCCUCUAGCAGUUCACCAACCAUGUCGAAUCAGGUCGCAUCGGCGGACCAGAUCCCGCGUCCUCCGGCCAGCGGACGAAGCGCGGUUGCAGAGGGGGAGAGGGAGAGCUUGGGAAAGUUGUGAUCUUGAUCGGCUUCACUUCCUUGUGAACUGUUAGAGGAUCGAUUUGGGAAUCAGCCGGGCAGCUCCUCGCUUCAUCCUCUUUUGAUUUGUCGAUGGAGGGGAGGGCUAAUCGUUUUUAACUGCUGAGUACGGCUACAGUCACUGGCGGAGCUACUGGUGGACCAUACUGGGCCACGGCCCAGUCUUCCAAAAUUGCAAAAGAUUAAUAUGGGCCGCUCUUUCCCAGUCGGUGGAACCUGAAGCAUCUUUACGUGUGUCUUCUCGAGUCUCCACUCCUUGUCCGUUCCCCAAUUUUCCCAUGGCUGCUAGCAGGUCCUCUUCCUUCCCCAAAAUCCUCAUCUCCUAGAAUCCAGAUUUAUUACUCCCCUUCACUCGUUGGUUCUAGCCAGCUCAAAUGGCGGCCGCACAUCCAGUCUUGGUAAUUUCUUGGAAGUUCUAAAUCUGGAGCAUCAGAUCGGCUAGACAUGAAGGAGACAUACAUUUUGCGUGGUGGUCGUGCUCGUCGCCAACCUGAUCACUUUACUAAAGAGCAAUAUUUCCGAGUGAAGAUAUUUCGAGUAACAUUGGACAGCCAGCUGAAUGAGUUAAAUCUGAAGUUCAAUGAGAAAGUGAUGGAUCUUUUAUCCAUAAGUGUUAAUCUGAUACCAAAAAAAUGGAUUUAUAUCUUUCAAUGCUAGAGAAAUAUGCAAAAUGGUUGAGAAGUACUAUCCAGCGGACUUCACAAACCAAGAUAUUGUUGGAUUAGAGCAUCAAUUGAACCAUUUUGCAUUGGAUGCCUCCGGUAGUGAAGAUUUGAAGAAUCUUUCAACUUUGACAGCACUUUGUCGAUGUCUUGUUGUGACAGGAAGACAUAGGAUCUAUAACAAGCUUGAUAGAUUGAUUCGUCUACUUGUUACUCUCCCAGUUUCCACCGCUAGUGCUGAGCGUGCAUUUUCAAGCUUAAAGAUCAUCAAGACAAGGCUACGGAAUAAGAUGGAAAAUGAAUAUCUUGCGAACAGCUUGCUUCUUCAAAUCGAACGAGAAAUUACUGCAGAAUACAGCUAUGAAGAUAUAAUUGCUGAGUUUAAGGCUCGAAAGAAUAGGAGAUUAGUUCUUUAGUUACUAUCUAACUCGUAUGGCUUGAUUUACUUGCAUUUUGGUAAAUCUUAUUUUGCUUCAGAGCAUAAAAUCUGAAUAGAUGCUCUGUUGUGGACAUGGGAACAUGGUCUUUUGUGAACAUCAGUAACAUAUAUUAAUAUGAAAUCUUUCUCUGAUUGUUCUAUGCA